rnacentral:misc_RNA from 1 species
AACGCACCUUGCGCUCUUUGGUAUUCCGAAGAGCAUGCCUGUUUGAGUGUCAUGAAGAUAUCAACCUUGACUUGGGUUUUGUGCUCUAGCCUCGGCUUGGAAUUGGGUGCUUGCCGCUUUUACGAGCGGCUCACCUUAAAUGUAUUAGCUGGAUCUGUCUUUGAGACCUGGUUUGACUUGGCGUAAUAAGUAUUUCGCUUAAGGACAUUCUUCGGAGAGGCCUCGUUUCUAGGACGCUUGUCCGCUUUCCAAUACAAUCUCCUCCUCGUGGUCAUGACUUUUUAUUAUCUGGCCUCAAAUCAGGUAGGACUACCUGAAGUUAA